rnacentral:rRNA from 1 species
GACGAACGCUGGCGGCGUGCUUAACACAUGCAAGUCGAACGAUGAAGAAAAGAAUUGAUGCUUCGGCAGAAAUUCAUUUCGGAUUAGUGGCAGACGGGUGAGUAACGCGUGAGCAACCUACCUCUUACAAAGGGAUAGCCUCGGGAAACCGGGAUUAAUACCAUAUAACAUUGCGACGAAGCAUUUCGAUGCAAUCAAAGCUACGGCGGUAAGAGUUGGGCGCGCGUCGCAUUAACCAGAUGGUGAGGUAACGGCGCACCAGAGUAACGAUGGGUAACCGGACUGAGAGAGUGAACGCUCACACUGGAAGUGAGACACGGUCCAGACUCCUGCGGGAGGCGGGAGUGGGGAAUAUUGCACAAUGGAGGGAGCGCUGAUGCAGUGACGCCGCGAAAGUGAUGAAGUUAGGCAUGUCGUGAAACUCUGUUCUAUGCGAAGAAAAUGACGGUACCAAAAGAAAAAGCUCCGGCUAAAUACGUG